rfam:Oryza glaberrima chromosome 7 Oglab07_0033_6, whole genome shotgun sequence.
UUUAAAUACAACCAUAAAUUUUCAUGUCCAGAUUUAAUCAUCUAUCUUAUUUAAAAUUUUUAUAAUUAUUAUUUUUUGUUGUUAUUAGAUAAUAAAACAUAAAUAAUACUUUACGUGUGAUGUGACUUAUAUUUUUAAUUUUUUUCAAAAAAAAUUUCACAUAAGACGAAUGAUCAAAGUUGGAUAUGUAAAAUCAUGGUUGCACUUAAG